CCUACGGGAGGCAGCAGUAGGGAAUCUUGCGCAAUGGGCGAAAGCCUGACGCAGCCAUGCCGCGUGAAUGAUGAAGGUCUUAGGAUUGUAAAAUUCUUUCACCGGGGAAGAUAAUGACGGUACCCGGAGAAGAAGCCCCGGCUAACUUCGUGCCAGCAGCCGCGGUAAUACGAAGGGGGGCUAGCGUUGCUCGGAAUUACUGGGCGUAAAGGGCGCGUAGGCGGAUAGUUUAGUCAGAGGUGAAAGCCCAGGGCUCAACCUUGGAACUGCCUUUGAUACUGGCUAUCUUGAGUUCGGGAGAGGUGAGUGGAAUGCCGAGUGUAGAGGUGAAAUUCGUAGAUAUUCGGCGGAACACCAGUGGCGAAGGCGACUCACUGGCCCGAUACUGACGCUGAGGCGCGAAAGCGUGGGGAGCAAACAGGAUUAGAUACCCUGGUAGUCCACGCUGUAAACGAUGAGUGCUAGUUGUCGGCAUGCAUGCAUGUCGGUGACGCAGCUAACGCAUUAAGCACUCCGCCUGGGGAGUACGGUCGCAAGAUUAAAACUCAAAGAGUAGUAGGCGUGAGAGAGCGACGACGACGACGACGGAGGAGG
rnacentral:rRNA from 1 species